rnacentral:rRNA from 1 species
UUAGAGUUUGAUCAUGGCUCAGGAUGAACGCUGGCGGCGUGCCUAAUACAUGCAAGUCGAACGCGAAAGACCUAAGACUUCGGUCGCGGGUCGAGUAGAGUGGCGAACGGGUGAGGAACACGUAGGUGACCUGCCCCGGAGAGGGGGAUAACGGCCGGAAACGGCCGCUAAUACCCCAUGAGCUCACGAGUGUUAGAGUACUGGUGAGCAAACGUAGCAUCUACGGAUGCGGCGCUCCGGGAGGGGCCUGCGGCCCAUCAGCUAGUUGGUAGGGUAACGGCCUACCAAGGCGAAGACGGGUAGGGGGCCUGAGAGGGUGGUCCCCCACACGGGAACUGAGACACGGUCCCGACUCCUACGGGAGGCAGCAGUAAGGAAUAUUGCACAAUGGACGCAAGUCUGAUGCAGCAACGCCGCGUGCCCGAGGAAGGCCUUCGGGUUGUAAAGGGCUUUUCUGGCUGAAGAGGAAGGACGGUAGGCCAGGAAUAAGCGUCGGCUAACUACGUGCCAGCAGCCGCGGUAAAACGUAGGACGCGAGCGUUAUCCGGAUUUACUGGGCGUAAAGCGCGGGCAGGCGGUGGCCAAAGUCGGACGUGAAAGCUCCCGGCUCAACUGGGAGAGGCCGUUCGAAACUAGGCGACUUGAGGGCAGUAGAGGGGCGUGGAAUUCCGGGUGGAGUGGUGAAAUGCGUAGAGAUCCGGAGGAACACCAGAGGCGAAGGCGGCGCCCUGGGCUGCACCUGACGCUGAGCCGCGAAAGCUAGGGGAGCGAACGGGAUUAGAAACCCCGGUAGUCCUAGCCGUAAACGAUGUCCACUCGAUGUCGGGCCGUCAAGGCUCGGUGUCCAAGCUAACGCAGGAAGUGGACCGCCUGGGGAGUACGGCCGCAAGGCUAAAACUCAAAGGAAUUGACGGGGGCCCGCACAAGCAGCGGAGCGUGUGGUUUAAUUCGAGGCAACGCGAAGAACCUUACCUGGGCUUGACAUGACGGUGGUACCGAGACGAAAGUUGAGGGACCCUUCGGGGAGCCGCCACAGGUGCUGCAUGGCUGUCGUCAGCUCGUGCCGUGAGGUGUUCGGUUAAGUCCGCGAACGAGCGCAACCCUUGCCGCUAGUUACAAGUGUCUAGCGGGACUGCCGGUGACAAACCGGAGGAAGGUGGGGAUGACGUCAAGUCAGCAUGGCCUUUAUGUCCAGGGCGACACACACGCUACAAUGGCUGGUACAAUGGGCAGCGAAGCCGCGAGGUGGAGCGAAUCUCCCAAAGCCAGUCGUAGUUCGGAUUGCAGGCUGCAACUCGCCUGCAUGAAGUCGGAGUUGCUAGUAACCGUGGGUCAGCCACACUACGGUGAAUACGUUCCCGGGCCUUGUACACACCGCCCGUCACGUCAUGGGAGCUGGCAACACCUGAAGUCGGUGCGCCAACCGCAAGGAGGCAGCCGCCGAAGGUGGGGCCGGUGACUGGGACGAAGUCGUAACAAGGUAGCCGUA